rnacentral:rRNA from 1 species
UACGAAGGGGACUAGCGUUGUUCGGAAUCACUGGGCGUAAAGCGCACGUAGGCGGAUUUGUAAGUCAGGGGUGAAAUCCCGGGGCUCAACCUCGGAACUGCCUUUGAUACUGCGAAUCUUGAGUCCGAUAGAGGUGGGUGGAAUUCCUAGUGUAGAGGUGAAAUUCGUAGAUAUUAGGAAGAGCACCAGUGGCGAAGGCGGCCCACUGGAUCGGUACUGACGCUGAGGUGCGAAAGCGUGGGGAGCAAACAGG